GACGAACGCUGGCGGCGUGCUUAACACAUGCAAGUCGAACGGAGUGGCGAACGGGUGAGUAACACGUGGGUGAUCUGCCUUGCACUUGGGGAUAAGCUUGGGAAACUGGGUCUAAUACCGGAUAGUGCAAGAUGAGCUCGCGGCCUAUCAGCUUGUUGGUGGGGUAAUGGAAUACCAAGGCGUCGACGGGUAGCCGGCCUGAGAGGGUGUGAGGCCACAAUGGGACUGGGUUACGGCCCAGAGUCCUACGGGAGGCAGCGGUGGGGAAUAUUGCACAAUGGGCGGACGCCUGAUGCAGCGACGCCGCGUGGGUGAUGAAGGCCUUCGGGUUGUAAACUCCUUUCGACAGGGACGCGGUACCUGUAUAAGAAGCACCGGCUAACUACGUGCCAGCAGCCGCGGUAAUUC
rnacentral:rRNA from 1 species